rnacentral:rRNA from 1 species
UACGUAGGGGGCAAGCGUUGUCCGGAUUUAUUGGGCGUAAAGAGCGUGUAGGCGGUCUGGUAGGUCCGUUGUGAAAACUCGAGGCUCAACCUCGAGACGCCGAUGGAAACCAUCAGACUAGAGUCCGGAAGAGGAGAGUGGAAUUCCUGGUGUAGCGGUGAAAUGCGCAGAUAUCAGGAAGAACACCCGGUGGCUAAGGCGGCUCUCUAGUACGGUACUGACGCUGAGACGCGAAAGCGUGGGGAGCGAACAGGG